UGCAGUCGAGCGGACAGAUGGGAGCUUGCUCCCUGAUGUUAGCGGCGGACGGGUGAGUAACACGUGGGUAACCUGCCUGUAAGACUGGGAUAACUCCGGGAAACCGGGGCUAAUACCGGAUGGUUGUUUGAACCGCAUGGUUCAGACAUAAAAGGUGGCUUCGGCUACCACUUACAGAUGGACCCGCGGCGCAUUAGCUAGUUGGUGAGGUAACGGCUCACCAAGGCGACGAUGCGUAGCCGACCUGAGAGGGUGAUCGGCCACACUGGGACUGAGACACGGCCCAGACUCCUACGGGAGGCAGCAGUAGGGAAUCUUCCGCAAUGGACGAAAGUCUGACGGAGCAACGCCGCGUGAGUGAUGAAGGUUUUCGGAUCGUAAAGCUCUGUUGUUAGGGAAGAACAAGUGCCGUUCAAAUAGGGCGGCACCUUGACGGUACCUAACCAGAAAGCCACGGCUAACUACGUGCCAGCAGCCGCGGUAAUACGUAGGUGGCAAGCGUUGUCCGGAAUUAUUGGGCGUAAAGGGCUCGCAGGCGGUUUCUUAAGUCUGAUGUGAAAGCCCCCGGCUCAACCGGGGAGGGUCAUUGGAAACUGGGGAACUUGAGUGCAGAAGAGGAGAGUGGAAUUCCACGUGUAGCGGUGAAAUGCGUAGAGAUGUGGAGGAACACCAGUGGCGAAGGCGACUCUCUGGUCUGUAACUGACGCUGAGGAGCGAAA
rnacentral:rRNA from 1 species